rnacentral:rRNA from 1 species
UCCCUCGUGGAAGGGUAGUGUUUAUUAGAUACAGAACCAACCCACCUUCGGGUGGUCCUCAGGUGAUUCAUAGUAACCGAACGGAUCGCAUUAUGGCCUUUUGGUCGGCGAUGGAUCAUUCAAGUUUCUGACCUAUCAGCUUUCGACGGUACUGUAUUGGACUACCGUGGCAGUGACGGGUAACGGGGAAUUAGGGUUCGAUUCCGGAGAGGGAGCCUGAGAAACGGCUACCACAUCUAAGGAAGGCAGCAGGCGCGCAAAUUACCCAAUCCUGACUCAGGGAGGUAGUGACAAGAAAUAACAACACUGGAAAUUAUAUUUCUAGUGAUUGGAAUGAUGGGAAUCCAAACCCCUUUCAGAGUAACAAUUGGAGGGCAAGUCUGGUGCCAGCAGCCGCGGUAAUUCCAGCUCCAAUAGCGUAUAUUAAAGUUGUUGCAGUUAAAAAGCUCGUAGUUGGAUAUCUGCUGGAAGCAGCCAGUCCGCCCUUUGUGGGUGUGCACUUGGUGAAUUCUGGCAUCCUCCUGAUUGGUGUUAUCAUCACUUCAUUGUGUUGAUGGCAGCUGUCAGGACCGUUACUUUGAGAAAAUUAGAGUGUUUCAAGCAGGCUUGUUGCCUUGAAUACUGCAGCAUGGAAUAACAAGAUAGGAUUUCGGUUCUAUUUUGUUGGUUUCUAGGACUGAAGUAAUGAUUAAUAGGGACAGUUGGGGGCAUUCGUAUUUAACUGUCAGAGGUGAAAUUCU